rnacentral:lncRNA from 1 species
ACCUUGCAUGGAAGCACUCCGUCUCUUUUUGAGGCGUGCAGAGGGUUGCGUACCGCUGGAGGGUAUGAUCGCUUCUGCUAGGGAUCUUUUAAAGUCCACCCAUAUCCAUUUAGAGCCACCUUCACCUUGUAGGUUGAGUCGUAGAUCCUUCAAUUAGGACUCCCUCCCUACACGUGGGUGCAUCCGUGGGCCUUCAGAGCCGGUUCAGUAGUAACAGGUUUGGUUACCUUCGCAGUAGUCUCUUAUAUAUCUGCUCAGGGUUGGAUAUCAGUUUGUUUGCUUCCAGGCUACCUUUUGACACAUUUGAUAGACAUUCUUUGUGAAGUUUCCCUUACCCCGCACCUUAUCUAGUAUUUUCACUAUUGUAGGAGUACCGA